CCCAGACUCCUACGGGAGGCAGCAGUGGGGGAUAUUGCACAAUGGGGGGAACCCUGAUGCAGCGACGCCGCGUGGGUGAAGGAGCGUUUCGGCGCGUAAAGCCCUAUCGGCAGGGAAGAAGGAGGACGGUACCUGACUAAGAAGCCCCGGCUAACUACGUGCCAGCAGCCGCGGUAAUACGUAGGGGGCAAGCGUUAUCCGGAUUUACUGGGUGUAAAGGGGGCGCAGACGGCAGCGCAAGCCAGGAGUGAAAGCCCGGGGCCCAACCCCGGGACUGCUCUUGGAACUGCGCGGCUGGAGUGCAGGAGGGGCAGGCGGAAUUCCUGGUGUAGCGGUGAAAUGCGUAGAUAUCAGGAGGAACACCGGUGGCGAAGGCGGCCUGCUGGACUGCAACUGACGUUGAGGCCCGAAAGCGUGGGGAGCAAACAGGAUUAGAUACCCCAGUAAG
rnacentral:rRNA from 1 species